GUAACUUCAGUAAACCUGAAGGACUUGCAAUUCAUUGUCAAGACGAGGCAAACACAAAAAGAACUGGCUCAAUAGUGUAGAAAUUUAUGACCUACAGGAGCAAGCACUUGUACCUUUAUUAAUAUGAGGUAGUAGGUCCCUCAGAUGAUCUGCAGUUAAUUCUUGAACUGCCGAGCACAUAGACCUAAAAAGGAGAAAGAUCAUAACCCAAAUACUCAACUGCAAUUGAAUACUACAAUGAAUUUCAGGAAUUGCCAAUACUUUCUUUUUUUGAAAUUGUUAACUUUGUGUAAAUCUAUGAUUAAGAUCAUUCAGGAAUUGUCAAUACUAUUUUGGAAACGAACUUAAUUUUUUUUAUCAGGAGAGAAAUGAACAGACAUUAGUUGAUAUUUAUGUUAAAAGCAACAGACAGCCAGAUGUAACUUAAAGAAAACGAGAAUCGUAGAAAAUGGAAACUGAUGAAGUUAUUUUUUUUUCUAAUGAUAAAAACUCAUAUAAAUAUAAUGCAGGCACAGGUGCCAAGAGCCCAUGAUGAAGGUGGUUCAAAGUCAACUUUCUGAAAGAACAGAAAUUGGAGAGAGAAGAAGAAUGCUACAGAGUUGAUUAAAGGGACAAACUGCUAAAAGAAAAGGGGAGAAACCAAUCAUAGAAAACCUCAUCUCAUUGCCAAUUCCAAAUAGCAAGGUUCAGUUAGCCUUCGGAAAGAAAAAGGAUAAAUUUGUGUCAGCAGGACAAUUUUGAAAAUGAUUUUCAAUAUCUAAUAUCAGAAGCGCAUUUCAACAACAACCACAUAUCCAGUGUAAUCCCACAAGUAGGUCUGGGGAGAGUAGAAUGUCGCAGACCUUACUCCUACUUUUGAAGCACAUUUCAUGAGGAGUAAUUCACCAGUAAAUCACCUUUUCUUCUACUGACAAGCUUGAUUAUUGGAGUUAAAGAGGUUUUGGCUUGUCCAGAUUGCUUAAUGCAAUCCACUUCAGCGCUUACACUAACAAGAGCAUGUGGCGCGUUCCUUCAUGUAUUCUAUUGACAUUUUAAGUGCAU
rnacentral:lncRNA from 1 species